UACGGGGGGGGCAAGCGUUGUUCGGAAUUACUGGGCGUAAAGGGCUCGUAGGCGGCCAACUAAGUCGGACGUGAAAUCCCUCGGCUUAACCGGGGAACUGCGUCCGAUACUGGAUGGCUUGAGUGUGGGAGAGGGAUGCGGAAUUCCAGGUGUAGCGGUGAAAUGCGUAGAUAUCUGGAGGAACACCGGUGGCGAAGGCGGCAUCCUGGACUACUACUGACGCUGAGGAGCGAAAGCCAGGGGAGCAAACGGG
rnacentral:rRNA from 1 species